UCCGGCAUGGUCUAGUGGCUAGGAUACCUGGCUCUCACCCAGGAGGCCCGGGUUCAAUUCCGGUGUCAGAA
rnacentral:tRNA from 1 species